rnacentral:rRNA from 1 species
AUGUCACGAAUUGAGGUAAUAAAGGGCAGCGAAAAUGACGGAUGUUUACCCCCGAGAAUAGGUGGGUGCUUGUGGCGCAGCGUCGGUCCACGAGGCAGUGCUCGAAUUGCCCGAGCACGGCAUUCACCGAGUGCUCCAACGUCGAACCCGUCCCGUCCGACACCAUGUAGAUCGAGUUCCCCGCUGCCUCGCUCCCGACCCCGACCACCUCGUCACCAUCAUCGUCCUCCUCCUCCAUCGCCGCGGCCUCUUCCUCGGAUGACGGCGGCGACUUGGUCCGCACCGAGAGCGCCGCGGUCGCCCGCAUGGCCGGCAGCUCCAGCCUCCGCCCGGACCGGAGCGCGCGCGCGCGGGACCAGCGGCUCAGCUGCGAGCUCGCGCGCGAGCGCGGCUGGGAGGCGGAGGAGACCGCCGCCUCCUCUUGCCCGGGCGCGCCAGAGAGCUCUUGGUCCGGUCCCGCGCUUAGAGGCGGGCCGGCCGUGGGGCCGAGGGGAGGGCGGGAGGAGCACGGACGGCGUCGCCGCGCCGAGCUUGGCGCUCAUCAUGGGAUCAGGCGAUACACCUAGAACACUGAGCAGCGUGCGACGUGUGACCGAGAGGAAUUGGGUUCGUUUUUCGCAACGUUUUUGCGUGCCGUGA